AAAAUUACAUAAUUCGUCCGGUUCAUUUGAUCCGAAUAUUUCACGGAGGACCAAAUCGUAAGGAAUCACAGGCUAGGUACUUCUUUUUUAACGAAAUGUACUACAAUGUAUAUAAAUUUCGAACGCUACGAGUGAUGCGGUUCCGUGUUAAAUUAAAAUUGAGAACGCGCAGUAUUAGUUAAAACAAACGAUGUGUAUAAAUGCAGCGGUGAACCGAAUAAAAACGUUAGUGUCUUUCGCCGCCACCGCCGUUCACGUUCUGAGUAACAAAGAUCGCAGAUCCGUGUGACCAUACCUCU